rnacentral:rRNA from 1 species
CGGAUGUAGGCUGAAACUCGCCUACAUGAAGCUGGAGUUACUAGUAAUCGCAGAUCAGAAUGCUGCGGUGAAUGCGUUCCCGGGUCUUGUACACACCGCCCGUCACACCACGGAAGUUGGGGGCGCCCGAAGCCACUUAGCUAACCCUUUUGGGAAGCGAGUGUCGAAGGUGAAAUCAAUAACUGGGGUGAAGUCGUAACAAGGUAUC